rnacentral:misc_RNA from 1 species
GAUGAAGAACGUAGCAAAAUGCGAUAAGUAAUGUGAAUUGCAGAAUUCAGUGAAUCAUCGAAUCUUUGAACGCACAUUGCGCCCGCCAGUAUUCUGGCGGGCAUGCCUGUUCGAGCGUCAUUUCAACCCUCAAGCACAGCUUGGUGUUGGGACUCGCGUUAAUUCGCGUUCCCCAAAUUGAUUGGCGGUCACGUCGAGCUUCCAUAGCGUAGUAGUAAAACCCUCGUUACUGGUAAUCGUCGCGGCCACGCCGUUAAACCCCAACUUCUGAAUGUUGCCCUCGGAUCAGGUAGGAAUACCCGCUGAACUUAAGCAUAUCAAUGAGCGGAGGA